UUAUGUUGAAUAUUUUAAAAAAGAAUGCUUAAUACAUGAUUAGAGAUCUGAAAUGUUUUUCAUUUUUGAAUGCAGGGUUUUUACCUAUACUUAGUAAUCGUCUGAGUGCAAUGCGGCCAUGCACUGAUAUAGACAUAAAAUAUUGUAGUCUUGAUAUCUGAUUAAUUUGCAGGGACAUUCAUCUGUUAUUGUGAAUCCUGAGAAGCAUACAUCACUUGAUAAAGAAACGGGAUUUUAAACGAAGAUCAUACUUAACCUUGAGAGGAUAUUUCUGAAGAGAAGAAGGAAGUAGAACUACUUAGUGUGGAUACAAUUUUGGAGAAUAGAAAACUGGAGAUCAUCAUCCGUUGUAGAUCGAGAACCUGAAUUUUACCCACAACCAGAGGAGCUAGACUGUUUAACUCGCUUAGAAUAUUAUAUGGAAUUGAGUGAGUGAUACCCCGGCAGCCCAUGUAUAGUAUCGAGAAUAUUUAAUGAAUUAGUCCUUUACAGUUCAAAACUGGAAAAUUUCUUCAUUUGAUCAUAAAACUU